GCUUUAUUUACUCAAAAAGAAAAUAUUUUUGAUGUUGCUAUGGUCUUUAAAAUGUGUUUUAAAAUUUUAAGCAUAGGUACUUUCGGCAGCUGAAAGUCCUUGUUCCACCUAUCGAACCUUUAAAAUCUUUUUUUAAAUAUGGACAGCAGCUAAAGUGGUAGCCGAAAGUCCCUAUUUUGGCUGCUGAACUUUAAAAAUCCUAUUUUUGAAAAAAAAAAUAGACUGAAGCAAGAGUGACAGUGGAACACCUUGGUUUCGGCUAUCGAACUUGGCUUUUUAAAACCCCCAAACUCCCUCUCUCUCUUCGACUUUUUGGCUUUCUCUCUUUUCUUUCCCUCUCUCAUUCCUGAAUCUCUCUUUACUCAGUUUCUUCAUCAAUUUUCCCUUGAGCUCAUUAUUUUCAAACCUUCCUAAGCUUGAUUUUACCAUAAUUUGCUGUUUUUAGAGCUACAUUGGACCUCCUUAAGGUUUGGCACUCCAUUUAAGUAUUUUUUUUUUCUUUCAAACUUUUUUAAAUUAGAAUCUACUAAACUUGUUUUAUGCUUAAUUUUUUAUGUUCUUCAUGUGACUUUGCUAAUUGUCAAUUUAUUGUGGCUCUUAGGAACUCUUUUCCAAAUUUUUAAGUUUCUUCUCCUUCGGGUAAGUUUUCCUAGUAAUUUUUUUUUUUUUUGUUAGCAUGCCUAUUUGGUUCUGUUGAGGUAUUUUGAGUAAUGAAAAUGGAUAAUUUGUUGCUGCUUAUUAUUAUCAAUUUUUGUUUUGUAACUUCUUGAAUUUGCUGCAAAAGUCUAUUACUUGAUUCACUCAAGUUAUAAGUGAUUUACCAAAUUGCAUUAUUUUUACCUUUGAAACUCAAAAAUCUUACAACAUAAAUAAAUAUAUAUAUCAAGAUUAUUUUUAAUAUAUCAAUUGUUAAAAUCCCUCAAUUCUUUUGAUACUGAAUUUCGCAACCUAAAAAUUUUGAUUAUGAGUUUAUUAACUUACUACCUUAUGUUCGCCUACUUGCUCUUGAUAUCUUUAUUGAAAUUUUUGUCAAUUAGCUCACACUUCCUACAUAUUUUUUCUUUUUGCCUUCUCUUUGGUUUUAGCCUGAUUUUGAGGAUGGUAAUUGUCAUUGCAACUUCUUUUAUGAUUCAAAAACUAGUAUUCUUGUUAGUGCCUUGAGUAUGCUCUUUUAGUACAACUAUAUUGAUCAUGUUUGUACCUACCUGAAAUAUUCUAUUAAACAUUACUCUGUUUUAAGUUGCUAUUUUUUUUUUUUUUGGUAAAAA
rnacentral:misc_RNA from 1 species